rnacentral:rRNA from 1 species
GGAAGCAGCUUGCUGCUUUGCUGACGAGUGGCGGACGGGUGAGUAAUGUCUGGGAAACUGCCUGAUGGAGGGGGAUAACUACUGGAAACGGUAGCUAAUACCGCAUAACGUCGCAAGACCAAAGAGGGGGACCUUCGGGCCUCUUGCCAUCGGAUGUGCCCAGAUGGGAUUAGCUAGUAGGUGGGGUAACGGCUCACCUAGGCGACGAUCCCUAGCUGGUCUGAGAGGAUGACCAGCCACACUGGAACUGAGACACGGUCCAGACUCCUACGGGAGGCAGCAGUGGGGAAUAUUGCACAAUGGGCGCAAGCCUGAUGCAGCCAUGCCGCGUGUAUGAAGAAGGCCUUCGGGUUGUAAAGUACUUUCAGCGGGGAGGAAGGGAGUAAAGUUAAUACCUUUGCUCAUUGACGUUACCCGCAGAAGAAGCACCGGCUAACUCCGUGCCAGCAGCCGCGGUAAUACGGAGGGUGCAAGCGUUAAUCGGAAUUACUGGGCGUAAAGCGCACGCAGGCGGUUUGUUAAGUCAGAUGUGAAAUCCCCGGGCUCAACCUGGGAACUGCAUCUGAUACUGGCAAGCUUGAGUCUCGUAGAGGGGGGUA